UUUGAUCUAUAAUUUAUAGUGUUACAUAUGUUUGAUUUGCAGAAAUAUAGAAACAAAUUGAAGAGAGGAGGAGAGACAAAGAAACAAAGAAAACAGAACAAAACUGCAGAAGCUACUACAGAAUCAAAAAUUUCAAAUGAAUCUUCAGAGUUUGAUUUUGAAGCUUAUGAUGCUUCUACUCUUCAUGUUGUUCCCGAUAAUUUCAUGCCAACAAAUUUUACUCACCAGCAAAUUUCAAAUGAAUCUUCAGAGUUUGAUUUUGAAGCUUAUGAUGCUUCUACUCUUCAUGUUGUUCCCAUGCCAACAAAUUUUACUCAUCAGCAAAUUNN
rnacentral:lncRNA from 1 species